ACCUGCGAGGCGGAGCGAGGAGGAGAGAGCUUGGACUCUGAGCCAGAGGCUGCUGGCCUGGGGUUCCAGGGGGAUGGCAGCGUGGGCGGCGGGGAGGCCGGGGGCCUGGACACCAGUGUCCUGAGGAAAUGGCGUCCGGGAGUUGGGGGAAGGGACAAGGCUGGGAGUGCAGACCAGGACAUUACAGAAGUAGAGGCUGAGACUCUGUGGUCCUAGAGAAAUAGAGGCUGGACCUAGGGGAGGGGGUUAUGGGGUACUGAGAACAGAACUGAGAGCCUGGACCACGGGUUCUGUACUCACCUGCGGGGCAAGUGACCAGGUGCCCCCUGGAGGUGACACUCCGGCAGUCCAGGCCAAUGUUCCUUAUUGCCGCAGGAUCUAUGGAAGGAGUGACCGAGGUAACUGUGAAACCGAGCUGCCCCUCCCCCAAUCUCAUGCUGCCCAGGCCCUGGUGGUUUGGAGAUGGGCAGGGGGCUCAAGGAAACCGCCCCUGGGGAAGGUCGGGAGCUCAUCACCUCUCAAGAUUCUGCUUUGAGAAUAAUCGACAAUUGACGUGUGCAAACUACGGCCCAUGGGCCAGAUCUAGCCCACCAUCUUUUUUUUUUUUUUUUGGCCACACUGAGCAUCAUGCGGGAUCUUAGUUCCCCAACCAGGGAUCGAACACCCAUCCCCCUGCAAUGGAAGCACGGAGUCUUAACCACUGGACCACCAGGGAAGUCCCGCCUACCAUCUCUUUUUGUAUGACUCAUGAGCUAAGAAUGGUUUUCACAUUGUUUGGGUUUGUUUUGUUUCCAAUAUGGAUGGAUUUUAAAAAAAUUGUGAUAAAACACCCGUAACAUAAAAUGCACCAUUUUAACCAUUUUCAAGUGUAAAUUCAGCAGCAUUAAGGCAGUGUGACCACCGAGGCAGACACUGGAAUGCUGUGGCCACAAGCCAAGGAAUGCCAGAAGCCACCAGAAGCUGGAAGAAGCAAAGAACCAACUUUUCCCUAGUCUUUAGAGGGAGUAUGGCUUGAUUUCAGCCAUACAGUGUUGUGUAAUCAUCAGCCCUGUCCAUUUCCAGAACUUUCUUUUUACCAUCCUCAACUGAAGCCUUACCUAUUAAACACUAAGUCCCACUUCCUCUUGAAGCCCCUGGUAACCUCUCAUCUAGUUUCUAUUUCUAUGAAUUUGCCUAUUCAUAUAGCAAAUAAGUGGAAUCAUACAAUAUUUAUCCUUUUGUGCCUGCCUUAUUUCACCGAGCAUAACAUUUUAAGGUUCAUCCAUGUUGUAGCAUGGAUCAGAACCUCAUUCCUUUUUAAGGCUAAUAUUCAAUUUUAUGUCCAUACCGCAUUUCGUGUAUCAUCUGUUGAUGGACAGUUGGGUUGUUCCCACCUUUUGGCUAUUGUGAAGGACGCUGCUAUGAACCUAGGGGCAGGACAGGAUAAAGACACAGGCGUAGAGAUGGACUUGAGGACACGGAGAGGGGGAAGAGUAAGCUGGGGCGAAGUGAGAGAGUAACAUUGACAUAUAUAUUCACUACCAACUGUAAAAUAGCUAGCUAGUGGGAAGCAGCUGCAUAGCACAGGGAGAUCAGCUCAGUGCUUUGCGACCACCUAGAGGGGUGGGAUAAGGAGGGUGGGAGGGAGACGCAAGAGGGAGGGGAUAUGGGCAUAUACGUAUGCAUAUAGCUGAUUCACUUUGUUAUACAGCAGAAACUAACACAACAUUGUAAAGCAAUUAUACUCCAAUAAAUAUGUUUAAAAAAUUAAAAAAAAUAACUUUUGAAGGAUGCAAAAGAAGUGGGCAGCUCUAACUACAGGCAGGGUGAAAAGCAGAGAGAAUGUGUGGAACCCCUGGGGCUCCCCAGGGACUCAGUUUGAAAACUUAGUUCAGUAGCAGGAAAGAGUUAUAUAUGCCCUGAUAAAGAAAUGUUCACAUACUGAGGUCUGGGGAAGUCAUUCUGGCUUAUACAUGAGUUAAUGUGAAUUUUGUGCUAGGUAAAACAGCCUGCUUGUGGCCUAUGAAAACUACAUUGUGCACCUGCUUUAAUUAUUAAAGAAAAGGGCACAUUGACCAGAAGUAAAGAAUGUCCGUGUUCAAAAUAAAGAUUAAAGCCCCUCUUCCUGGGAUGCCGGGGCUGGUCCUCCUUUGAUGAUAAGACUCCCUUCCCAGGUGCCAAGGUCCUACCGACUCACUGUGUACAUGCUGAUCUGUUUUUAUGAAACCUUGAAGGAGUGUCUCCCUGACUUCUUUGAUGUUCUCUGUUCUUACAAGAUAUAAAACUGUGCUGAAAACCCUGCUUCUCCCAAGCAGUUUCUCAGAGUUUUCCUCUGAGAAGCUGUGUUCUGGGCUAUAGUCCUCAGUUUGGCUAAAAUAAAACUCUUUCUAUUGCUA